AGACCCGAAACCCGGUGAUCUAGCCAUGGGCAGGUUGAAGGUUGGGUAACACUAACUGGAGGACCGAACCGACUAAUGUUGAAAAAUUAGCGGAUGACCUGUGGCUGGGGGUGAAAGGCCAAUCAAACCGGGAGAUAGCUGGUUCUCCCCGAAAGCUAUUUAGGUAGCGCCUCGUGAAUUCAUCUCCGGGGGUAGAGCACUGUUUCGGCCAGGGGGCCAUCCCGGCUUACCAAUCCGAUGCAAACUGCGAAUACCGGAGAAUGUUAUCACGGGAGACACACGGCGGGUGCUAACGUCCGUCGUGAAGAGGGAAACAACCCAGACCGCCAGCUAAGGUCCCAAAGUCAUGGUUAAGUGGGAAACGAUGUGGGAAGGCCCAGACAGCCAGGAUGUUGGCUUAGAAGCAGCCAUCAUUUAAAGAAAGCGUAAUAGCUCACUGGUCGAGUCGGCCUGCGCGGAAGAUGUAACGGGGCUAAACCAUGCACCGAAGCUGCGGCAGCGAACGUAUCACCCAAGACAACUUUACACAGUUGACGACUGACGGAGCGAAGCGACGUCAAAGCGUUUUACAACGUCGAGUUGGCUUAGGGAUACGUUCGUUGGGUAGGGGAGCGUUCUGUAAG
rnacentral:rRNA from 1 species